GCUAGCUUGCUAAUAAUUCUCUAGUGGCGCACGGGUGAGUAACACGUGAGUAACCUGCCCCCAAGAGUGGGAUAGCCCCGGGAAACUGGGAUUAAUACCGCAUAAAAUCGCAAGAUUAAAGCAGCAAUGCGCUUGGGGAUGGGCUCGCGUCCUAUUAGUUAGUUGGUGAGGUAACGGCUCACCAAGGCGAUGACGGGUAGCCGGUCUGAGAGGAUGUCCGGCCACACUGGAACUGAGACACGGUCCAGACACCUACGGGUGGCAGCAGUCGAGAAUCAUUCACAAUGGGGGAAACCCUGAUGGUGCGACGCCGCGUGGGGGAAUGAGGGUCUUCGGAUUGUAAACCCCUGUCAUGUGGGAGCAAAUUAAAAAGAUAGUACCACAAGAGGAAGAGACGGCUAACUCUGUGCCAGCAGCCGCGGUAAUGCAGAGGUCUCAAGCGUUGUUCGGAAUCACUGGGCGUAAAGCGUGCGUAGGCGGUUUCGUAAGUCGUGUGUGAAAGGCGGGGGCUCAACCCCCGGACUGCACAUGAUACUGCGAGACUAGAGUAAUGGAGGGGGAACCGGAAUUCUCGGUGUAGCAGUGAAAUGCGUAGAUAUCGAGAGGAACACUCGUGGCGAAGGCGGGUUCCUGGACAUUAACUGA
rnacentral:rRNA from 1 species